GAGGGCAUAGCUCAGUGGUAGAGUGUGUGCCUACAUGCACAAGGUCCUGGGUUCAAUCCCAGUACUUCCA
rnacentral:tRNA from 1 species